UGAGCAGCUGAGAGAGGGAGUGGUUAGUGGAGAUGACAUGGAUGAGCAGCUGAGAGAGGGAGUGGUUAGUAGAGAUGACAUGGAUGAGCAGCUGAGAGAGGGAGUGGUUAGUGGAGAUGACAUGGCAGGCAGUGCAGCAGACUGACAGUCACACACAAUACUGACUGGGGUCUGCUACUUACAGUCUAGCAGAGUGAUUAGCACUAGUAUGAUGGGGGGUUCAAAGGUGAGGAGUCAAGUGUCAGUGGAGGAUGAUUCUGAGCAUGGGGCCAGCACUAAAGGGAAGUGGCCAGUGGAAGAGAGUGAGUUAGGAGCUAGCUGAGCAUGCGUAAAAGUGUAUCCGUCCAGAGAUCUGUGCCAUCACAGCAGCAAGAUUUGUGACCUGUUGCCACGAGAAAAGGGCAACCAGUGAAGAACAAACACUAAUCUCCAGCUGCAGCUUCCUGUUCUCCUUCUCCUUCCUGCGCACGUCCAGCGUGUCGUCGCGGUUGUGACCCGUCCGCAACGUCUCCCUGCGGUUCAUGAUCUCGGCCAGCUUGUUGAUCGCCUGGUGGGUAUGUACAUAUACAGUCCACAAUAUAUUAUGGUAAUGGACAGCACACUGCAAUAUAUAUUCUCAAUGAAAAACACGUUAUGGGCUGGUUUCUCUGGUUUCUCAGCCUAGUCCUGGAACAAAACACACAUGUAAUGGAGAUUCUCUAUUGAGUAUGCCUUUUAGUCCGGGACUAGGCAUCUGACCCUAUAUAUUAAAUCAACAAAUAGAUGCAUACUAUGUAACAUUGGAGUUCUGUCGCUGUCCUGCUGAACCCAGGACAUGAA